rnacentral:rRNA from 1 species
GACGAACGCUGGCGGCGUGCCUAAUACAUGCAAGUAGAACGCUGAAGGAGGAGCUUGCUUCUCUGGAUGAGUUGCGAACGGGUGAGUAACGCGUAGGUAACCUGCCUGGUAGCGGGGGAUAACUAUUGGAAACGAUAGCUAAUACCGCAUAAUAGCAGUUGUUGCAUGACAACUGUUUGAAAGGUGCAAUUGCACCACUACCAGAUGGACCUGCGUUGUAUUAGCUAGUUGGUGGGGUAACGGCUCACCAAGGCGACGAUACAUAGCCGACCUGAGAGGGUGAUCGGCCACACUGGGACUGAGACACGGCCCAGACUCCUACGGGAGGCAGCAGUAGGGAAUCUUCGGCAAUGGACGGAAGUCUGACCGAGCAACGCCGCGUGAGUGAAGAAGGUUUUCGGAUCAUAAAGCUCUGUUGUAAGAGAAGAACGAGUGUGAGAGUGGAAAGUUCACACUGUGACGGUAUCUUACCAGAAAGGGACGGCUAACUACGUG